GGACAGCGAUCGCCGAGUCCCCGUACGGCGCGAGCCAGGGGAGCCGGGGACCCACAGUCCCUGGGGUGAAUCGGGCGCGUGCGCCCGUAGGAGACCUUCCUGCUCCGAACCCGUCAGCUAACCCGGUAGGCGAGAGGGAAGGAAAGG
rfam:Streptomyces acidiscabies strain NCPPB 4445 genomic scaffold scf_64481_91.1, whole genome shotgun sequence.